GAGGCGACUCGGUCAGUGCUCCUCUGACUGGCAGAAAGAGGAUUCAAGGAAACCUUGGAGCAUGUGAAGAAAUGCAAAAAGUUCCUCUCCACAUUCAUAAGGCUGGCCUCGAGUGGCAAACAGUCCUCAGAGACAGCAGUCAGCAUGAAAGACCUCGUGAAGAAUCUUGUGGUGUCACCUGGUUUGUUUGGCCAAGAGAGGGAUGCUUGUCUGAGCCUCUGUGCUAGAUCCUCCACUCCCAGGCUCCAGGGGUGGUGGUGAGGUCCGCCAGCCCCAGAGCUGCGUCACUCUAAAGCCUCCUCAGAUGGUCACGCAUCUUCAUACAGGUGAAAUGAGGCCGGAUGCCAGGAGUGAGACGCCCAGUCCCAGCCCCCGGCCUCCGAGACGCAAAAGCACAAGUUGAAAGACGGGGUGGGGGGGUCCUUCAGGUGUAUUCAGGCAAAGCAAGCAGCAGGGCUUGUGCUUUAGGAGCAGCUCUUACUUGAGGUAAAGAGUAUGGAAUCACAGAGCUCAGCCUAGAGGUGAUCACCUUCAUUUCUUAUGCUGCUGAGCAGUGACUGCAGAACCUCAUAGAGGUGUCCGAGGUUGCCCAGCAUGCGGGCCUCUCCUCGAAGGUGAACAUCAGGGGUAUUAAGGUAACCCGAGAACCUCCAGUCUAAGCGACACUAAAGCAGUCCAGGCAUGACCAGAAAGGCCUUCUCUCCCCACCUUCUUGAAGGACAAUGGCCAGUAUGAUCAGGUCAGCGAUUGACCUGAGAAGCAGAAGGAACCGGAACAGGACAUUUUCAUGAAAGGUUUUAACACUACAUCACCACCACUAAAUCACUAGAGCGCUUUGAGUAACAGUAGCUAGUGGUUGCUGAAUAACGAAAAACUCAACACUAAAUUUACACAUCUAGCUGAACCUACCAGCUCUCACAUUUUAGUAGACUAGUUUUUAUUGAACACAGAAGAAAAAGUUCAGUGUACUUGUGUAAAUAAGUUUAAGACGAUCCACUAGCAGUCUGUAUUUAGCAUGACGUCCCCUCCUGGCUGGGCCCCUGCCUAGUCCCCUAUUCUGCCUGGGACUCCAGGCCUCCCCCAUGACCUUGCCCAGGGUAAGCAGUUAAAAGAUAAAUGGAUAGAUGUUGCAUAGCAUGAGUCAUCUAGAAUCAGACACCAGACCCCAUGUCAGUGAAAAUAUCUCAUUCUUUGGUGGAGACUCAUGAUUUAUGUAAAUCUCGCUUAAUGCAAUCAAUGUGACCUUUAUUCCUCAUAGCGGCAUGCCAACUGUAGGACCGUGUAGAAAUGAGAUGUAGACAUGAUUAAAAUCAACGCUGGUAUUCUCUCUGCUCUCAGUCUCGGCAAUAGGAUCCAGAACAGUGUAAGGCAAAGGAGGUAGGAGUCUGUGUGCCUGUACUGGGGUUCCCCAGUAGUUGGGUGUUACCAGUUUGCAAGUGAUGUAUGUGUAAAGGGCUGACGUGUUUCCAUGUUUCUGCUUGAGACAAUGUGCAGCCGCCGGGGCUGCGCAGGUGAGGCAGCGCGACGCAAACCUCACGGACUUCACUGCUAUCGGGCCCUGGAGGAAACGGAAGACAGACUGUCCAGAAACUGAGCCUGGAGCUGAUGUACAUUAUUCAUCCAUCUUUUUGAUGACAGCAUGGUCAUUUCAUUCAAUGGACAUUCAAAUUGAGAACUUGACGGGGCUGUAAUCUCAGUCCCUCCGUGAUUUUACUUUUUCAUAUAACAUGACAGUCUCUCUGCCUUAGAUGACAGGCAUAGCAUCGGUGUUUAUACAAAACCACGACAGCUGGUCCUCGCAGAGCACGUCGAUGUGGUGUACGUUCUUACAAAUCAUGUUUGGUUGUGAAACAACGUCGAGUGAAGCCUGUUUUCCCCAUAAGGGACUUCAUAAGAAGCUCAAUUUGAAUAGAGGGCAUCCUUUAGCCACCGUAAUAUAACAUCAUUUCAAUAUUUUUCGUGAAUAAUUAAUAUAUAAUGUGCACAUUAAAUAUC